rnacentral:tRNA from 1 species
GGCGGCAUGGCCAAGUGGUAAGGCAGGGGACUGCAAAUCCUUUAUCCCCAGUUCAAAUCUGGUGCCGCCU